GUUCUUAUACUUUAUGCAGUAGGUCAAUUAUUUUUGGUGUUAUAAAAAUAUUUUGUGAUCUAUGUCAGUCGCGCACGCUUUAUUUGAGUUUGACCCAAUUUUCGCGGUUCAUUGCUCAAGUGUGAAGUUUUUGUUUUGGUCUUUUUUUUUAAACUAUAAGCAAUAGGUCAACUACAUUUGUUGUAUGGAAGAAUCAUUUAGCUGAACAUGCCUGCCUUGCAUGGUUCAUUGGUCAAUGUUUAGUUUUCUUGGUAAAUGUUAGUUUGUUUGUGUGACAGUUGUAAUAAAGCUUUAUAUUUAGGACCAUCAACAUGAUAUCAAUGAUAAGUAAAGAAGGCGAGAAAUUUCA
rnacentral:lncRNA from 1 species